UACGGAGGGGGCAAGCGUUGUUCGGAAUUACUGGGCGUAAAGGGCGCGCAGGCGGCUGCUCAAGUCAGGCGUGAAAGGCCUGGGCUCAACCCCGGAACUGCCUUUGAUACUGGCAUUCUCGAGUCCGGAAGAGGUGAGUGGAAUUCCGAGUGUAGAGGUGAAAUUCGUAGAUAUUCGGAGGAACACCAGUGGCGAAGGCGGCUCACUGGUCCGGUACUGACGCUGAGGUGCGAAAGCGUGGGGAGCAAACAGG
rnacentral:rRNA from 1 species